UGGGGAAUAUUUGACAAUGGGCGCAAGCCUGAUCCAGCCAUGCCGCGUGUGUGAAGAAGGCCUUAUGGUUGUAAAGCACUUUAAGCGAGGAGGAGGCUACUUUAGUUAAUACCUAGAGAUAGUGGACGUUACUCGCAGAAUAAGCACCGGCUAACUCUGUGCCAGCAGCCGCGGUAAUACAGAGGGUGCAAGCGUUAAUCGGAUUUACUGGGCGUAAAGCGCGCGUAGGCGGCUAAUUAAGUCAAAUGUGAAAUCCCCGAGCUUAACUUGGGAAUUGCAUUCGAUACUGGUUAGCUAGAGUGUGGGAGAGGAUGGUAGAAUUCCAGGUGUAGCGGUGAAAUGCGUAGAGAUCUGGAGGAAUACCGAUGGCGAAGGCAGCCAUCUGGCCUAACACUGACGCUGAGGUGCGAAAGCAUGGGGAGCAAACAGG
rnacentral:rRNA from 1 species